rnacentral:rRNA from 1 species
GGAUUAGAUACCCUGGUAGUCCACGCCGUAAACGAUGUCAACUAGGUGUUGGGACGGUUAAUCGUCUCAUUGCCGCAGCUAACGCAUUAAGUUGACCGCCUGGGGAGUACGGUCGCAAGAUUAAAACUCAAAGAAAUUGACGGGGGCCCGCACAAGCGGUGGAGUAUGUGGUUUAAUUCGACGCAACGCGCAGAACCUUACCUGGUCUUGACAUCCCGGGAACUUCCUAGAAAUAGGAAGGUGCUCUUCGGAGAACCCGGUGACAGGUGCUGCAUGGCUGUCGUCAGCUCGUGCCG